CCCGUCGCGGACGGGCCGGGAUGUGGCCGCAGACGCGGCUGAACCACGAA
rnacentral:ncRNA from 1 species